rnacentral:lncRNA from 1 species
UCUAAUCAUAUUUUCUUGAUAUUGGUAAAAAAUUAAUAAAUUAUAAAGUUAAAAUUGUAAUGGAUAGAUGGUCGGUCGGUUGUAGUGUCAUGCGAUUUUUAUAGAAUAAUAAAUGCGUUAGAUUUUUACAGAUUCAUUUAAACAGAUUUUUACACAUUUUUACAGAGUAUUAAAGGGUAUUAAAUAGUCAGAGUAAUCCGAAUAUUAAACCUGAUAUUAACGUCGAAUCUUUACCUUGUUUUCACAGGAUUUUCACGAGAUUUGCACCGUUUUUAAGGAGAUGGGUCAGGAUUACUAACAUCUGGUUACGAUGGCACCUGCAGAACCCUAUUUGAUGGGUCUCAUGUAGUCAUGAUCAGUAUCCAUUUUCAGAUGGGAAUCCUGCAGAACAUCGAUCAGAUUGUUACGACGGCAAAUAACAAAAGAGUAAUAGAGUAAACGAUGAAGAAUAAGAUGUAGAGGCCGACUAAAAAUUUAUACCAUUGUUAUCGGAAGAAAAAGAUGUAGAUGGUGACUAAAAAUUUAAACCAAAUUAAUCGACAGUCUAACCUUGGUAAACCUACAAAAGUUAAACCACGCUCAGAUUUUUCCACCUUCUUACAUCCUCCGAAAAAGCUGCAAAAGGAGACAAGAAUGAUUUCGAUUCGACGUGCGCAGACUUGCUCUCGAUAGAUGAUUGACGUAUGCAGAGUGCGACAGUGAAAAGACUAGACCUGAAAAUAUUAUUCUAAUACAAUAAAUUUAAUUUAUAAAAGCCCGUUGUCAAAUUUACCAAUACUUUCACAUAACGUAUUUCAGACAUUGUCUUAAACUAAAUGUAACAAAUUUAUUACUAUAGAUUUGACCGUUGAUUAAUUAUGCACCCAAAUUUUUUACCAUAAUAAGAUUUUAAAAAGUCGGUGGAAUUCUAGAAAUUCGAAAUACCGAAAUCGAAUUACUGAAACGAUUUCAGGAUAAUUUUUCGAUAAUCCAAAUCUAUAUAAUUAAUGUGAAAUUAUAAAGUGAUGGGUAUUAAUGGAAGAAUAAUAUAACCGAAUAGUAUAAACCGAAUAGUAUCUACUUUCGGAUAUACUAACCGAAUUAGAUAUAUCCGAAUAAUUAUCCGGUUAUAUCCAGAUAAAAUAUUUCGGAUAUAUAUUGGGUUCUAAUUUAUUUGGAUAAAUCCCUACCGAUUUUAUUAUGGUCAAUCUUUCCCGAUCUACUCCAAAAUCCCUACCACCCGGUCUACGCAGGCGACAGGAUAACCAGACCGGCCCGCCGCGUUCUGGAUUUACCUAAAUAGUCAAAGAAGUCAUCCCUCGAUAAUCUGUAAAUUGAUAAUCAAUAGGUAUUUUUAAUCAUUAAAUAAAAUAAAGUAAUCGGAUUGCAGGCAGCCUGUAUAAUUUUCCAAAACAAUCUACAUGUAAUGAAUAUCCGUCAAAAGUUCUUGGAGAACAUCAUUAAACGAAAGAAACGGAGGAAUAAAACCUAGAAUCUCGUAGACGAAAUCUACCAUACAGCUGUGUGUUAAAAUAAACUGUUGCCUAACACCUAACGAAAAACUCGAGAACAUAAACCCAAAAUAAUCCCUUACCUCCGCUUUUAUAUUCUCCAAAGAAAAUAAGGUAUGUCUCCGGUGAUGUUGUUCUUCCACUUCGCCCAUGACGGAAUCAUUUGGAAUGGGUAAUCGGCAACAUGAUUUACAAAUCAUACAGGUUUUGAGAUAUACGAGAUUGCCUGGUGGAGUUGAUAUAUGAGACUGCCUGGUGGAGUUGAUAUACGAGACUGCUUGGUGGAGUUGAUAUACGAGACUUCAUGGUACAAGACCAACGAAGAAUUUCGAAAUUAGGGAUGAAUUGAAAAUAGGGUUAUGCAGUCUGUAUAUGAUUUUGGUUAAAAUUCAUUUCCUCAUAAAUGGGUUAUAAUUGAUUGACCGAUUAAUGCAUCUCACCCGAUUAUUUAUGUUUGAGGGUUUAUUUGUCAUUACCUAUUUGCCUCCCAAUGUCGAUACUACGAGGUAUUAAAAUCUGCAAGAACCCCUUCCAUUAUUAAUUUGCGAUAACCCAUUUCGAUUGUAAAAAGAACCCAUUCCGAUU